AGCGAACGCUGGCGGCAGGCUUAACACAUGCAAGUCGAGCGGACCUUUCGGGGUCAGCGGCGGACGGGUGAGUAACGCGUGGGAACGUGCCUUCCGGUUCGGAAUAACCCUGGGAAACUAGGGCUAAUACCGGAUACGCCCUUAUGGGGAAAGGUUUACUGCCGGAAGAUCGGCCCGCGUCUGAUUAGCUAGUUGGUGGGGUAACGGCCUACCAAGGCGACGAUCAGUAGCUGGUCUGAGAGGAUGAUCAGCCACACUGGGACUGAGACACGGCCCAGACUCCUACGGGAGGCAGCAGUGGGGAAUAUUGGACAAUGGGCGCAAGCCUGAUCCAGCCAUGCCGCGUGAGUGGUGAAGGCCUUAGGGUUGUAAAGCUCUUUUAUCCGGGACGAUAAUGACGGUACCGGAGGAAUAAGCCCCGGCUAACUUCGUG
rnacentral:rRNA from 1 species